rnacentral:rRNA from 1 species
GAGUUUGAUUCUGGCUCAGAAUCAACGCUGGCGGCGUGCCUAACACAUGCAAGUCGAACGAGAAAGGGACUUCGGUCCUGAGUAAAGUGGCGCACGGGUGAGUAACACGUGACUAACCUACCUUUGAGCGGGGGAUAACCUAGGGAAACCUGGGCUAAUACCGCAUAAUACCUACGGGUCAAAGCGAGCAAUCGCACUUAAAGAGGGGGUCGCGGCAGAUUAGCUAGUUGGUAAGGUAAUGGCUUACCAAGGCGAUGAUCUGUAUCCGGCCUGAGAGGGCGCACGGACACACUGGAACUGAAACACGGUCCAGACUCCUACGGGAGGCAGCAGUGGGGAAUUUUGCGCAAUGGGGGAAACCCUGACGCAGCAACGCCGCGUGGAGGAUGAAAUCCCUUGGGAUGUAAACUCCUUUCGAUCGGGACGAUAAUGACGGUACCGAUAGAAGAAGCCCCGGCUAACUUCGUGCCAGCAGCCGCGGUAAUACGAGGGGGGCAAGCGUUGUUCGGAAUUAUUGGGCGUAAAGGGUGCGUAGGCGGUUUGAUAAGUCUUAUGUGAAAUCUAUGGGCUCAACCCAUAGUCUGCAUAGGAAACUGUCAGGCUUGAGGAUGGGA